rnacentral:lncRNA from 1 species
UUUUCUUCUUGACAGGUGAAAGUUGCCCUUUAUUUUUUUCUAUAUAAGCAAGGUAGCCUUUUCUUUUUCAAGGUAACCCUACUAUUUCUCACAGUUGGGUUGCAGGUGCUCGUUAGCAUGGGUGUUUCUGUGGACAUCCCAUAGUAUCUAUGACAACUAUAUAUACAUUUUAAUAAUGGAUUUUUAACUCCUACCUUGAUGACAGGCCAAUCUUAAUGGGUUUUUCACAUUUCUAGCCCACUUCAUAACACCAAGGAUUAGGUGAUGCACUGGUAUCUGUCGAGUGUGCCGAAAGCUGCAUCCAGUGGAAGAAUCACCAAAUUAGUUCUUUCUCUCCACUCCUAAGCCACAGGAUAUUUCUUCUUUAUAGAUUUAAGCAACAUGAUGACUGAAUUUCCUAUUCUGCAGAAACAUAAGUCAUUUGUCAACACUAGUUAGGAUUGAAUGAAAAGCCUGUCACGUAAGUGUCACAGUAGCACUUCACGCUGCACUCUUUUCCCUGGUCAUUCUCCUCAUCUUCUUUAGCACACAGCACAGAGCUAAUGAAGUGGCAGCAUAUCCAGAAUUUUCUUACAGUACAAAUCACUUUGAAAUGGUGCUAAAGUAAUCUUGUAUUUGGGAUGUCCAGCCACGUGUGUCUACUCCACUAUUGGUGCCACAUUUGGGCAAGAAACAUCCCUGCAGCAUGCAGACUGGCUAGGAUGCCAACUGUUCCCAGAAGCAUUCAAACACUGCACCAAGGCUCCUCAACAUCCUCAAAACAUGGUGGAUUGAUCCUUGAGAAACAGCUGGAAUUUGUUGCUCCAUGGCUUCAGUUCUACUGUUCCAGGAACUGAUGUUUUCACUCUACAUAAGGAAGAAUUAAAGUGUCAAGGCACACAAACCAAGCAUUUGGAAUGGCCUGGGUAGCAGAGAGCCCAGAUUUAACAGCUGAUCAGUGCAUUCAGGCAUAUCUUGGUUUCACUCUUACACUACCAAGUUUCAAGUAUCCUGACAGCUUGUAUGUCCACCACAACAAAGGAAAACCAUUAAAAAUCACCAACACAAGUAGAGAGUGAUUAUCCCAUUUUCCUUCAGUUAGUAAGAUUAAAGAACACUCAAAAGAAUCACCACAUUAAGUACUUAUAUAUUUUAAUCUUAUUCAGGCCCACUGUCAUGGUUUAAGCCCAACCAGUAACUCAGAACCAUGCAGCCGCUCGGUCACUCCCUCCCUUCUUCCCCUGCGCUCCUGGAGGGAUGGGGAGGAGAAUCAAAAGCAUGUAAACCCCACGGGUUGAGAUCAGAACAGUCCAGUAACUAAGGUAUAAUACAAACCACUACUGCUACCACCAAUAAUAAUAACAAUGAUAAAGGAAAUAACAAGGGGAGAGGAUACAAUUGCUCAGCACCCACUUACCGAUACC